AUGCGGCGCGUGCCAACUGGACGCGACCGGGAAGAGAAACAGCACGAUUUUUCCAGUUUCCCGUGCUGGCCAACGAAAUGGCAGACGAGUCUCUUACCGGUCCGCGCC
rnacentral:sRNA from 1 species